GAAUAUUGGGCAAUGGACGGAAGUCUGACCCAGCCAUGCCGCGUGCAGGAAGAAGGCCUUCUGGGUUGUAAACUGCUUUUAUCUGGGAAGAAAACACCCCUGCGGGGGAAACUGACGGUACCAGAUGAAUAAGCCCCGGCUAACUCCGUGCCAGCAGCCGCGGUAAUACGGCGGGUGCAAGCGUGGUCCGGAUUUAUGGGGUUGAAGGGGUGCGUAGGCGGCCCGUUAAGUCAGUGGUGAAAGCCUCCAGCUCAACUGGAGAACUGCCAUUGAUAAUGACGGGCUUGAGUACAGACGAGGUUGGCGGAAUUGAUAGUGUAGCGGUGAAAUGCAUAGAUACUAUCAAGAACACCGAUUGCGUAGGCAGCUAACUAGGCUGUAACUGACGCUGAGGCACGAAAGCGUGGGGAGCGAAC
rnacentral:rRNA from 1 species